UACGGAGGGUGCAAGCGUUAUCCGGAUUUACUGGGUUUAAAGGGUGCGUAGGUGGGUCUGUAAGUCAGUGGUGAAAUCUCCGGGCUUAACCCGGAAACUGCCAUUGAUACUAUAGGUCUUGAAUAUUGUGGAGGUUAGCGGAAUAUGUCAUGUAGCGGUGAAAUGCUUAGAUAUGACAUAGAACACCAAUUGCGAAGGCAGCUGGCUACGCAUAUAUUGACACUGAGGCUCGAAAGCGUGGGGAUCAAACAGG
rnacentral:rRNA from 1 species